rnacentral:sRNA from 1 species
UUGCACACACGAGUUGCAGCCAACCCGCGGCGAACGAACACAUUGUCCCUCCCGGUCGGCCGUGGCGCGAGCGCGAGCGCGGCCGGCCACCUCCCUUCGUCGCGAGCUUCGUCACGAACUCGCGGCGUCGGGUUUUCACGCGAUGCUUUCACCAUGACCGAAUGACUGAGUCCCUUUUUGGCUCCAUGGGAGUGAGUUCCGUCCCCCCCCCUUAGGCUGGGCUUGUCUUGUCUUGACUUGGCUUGCUUGCUUGCGAAGGGGGUCGGCGCUGGUUACCUUGCGAGUUGUGAAAAACUUAACCGAAAACAACUCUCAGCAACGGAUAUCUUGGCUCUUGCAACGAUGAAGAACGCAGCGAAAUGCGAUACGUAUUGUGAAUUGCAGAAUUCCGCGAAUCAUCGAGUCUUUGAACGCAAGUUGCGCCCGAGGCUUGUCCAAGGGCAUUUCCGCUAGAGCGUCACCGCGUCCCCCACCGCUCCACUCCCUGUGAAAGGGAGUCGUGUCGAGUGAAAGUGGCCAUCCCGGUGGGGCCUCACUUGGAAGGAGGGCCUCAAGGGUUGGCUGAAAUGGAAGGAAUCGGGCCGCCGUGGUGACCCAGUCCGCGAUCGGGUGAUUUCCGGGCUCUUCCGCGGGAGAGCCUGGAAUAUUUCUAAGUGCGUGGCUGCGUCGCCCAGUCGGUUUUCGGGUGUAGUGACCUCACUCACGUGGCUGGCAGGUCGAGCGCGCCCCCGCGGCGCGCGUCACGCAUC